rnacentral:rRNA from 1 species
CGGACGGGUGAGUAAUGCUUGGGAAUCUAGCUUAUGAGGGGGAUAACUACGGGAAACUGUAGCUAAUACCGCGUAAUAUCGAAAGAUUAAAGUGUGGGACCUUCGGGCCACAUGCCAUAAGAUGAGCCCAAGUGGGAUUAGGUAGUUGGUGAGGUAAAGGCUCACCAAGCCGACGAUCUCUAGCUGGUCUGAGAGGAUGACCAGCCACACUGGGACUGAGACACGGCCCAG